rnacentral:rRNA from 1 species
AUGAACGCUGGCGGUAUGCUUAACACAUGCACGUCGCACGGACUCUUCGGAGUUAGUGGCGGACGGGUGAGUAACGCGUGAGAAUCUGGCUUUGGGUUCGGGACAACCACUGGAAACGGUGGCUAAUACCGGAUGUGCCGAGAGGUAAAAGAGAAAUUGCCUGAAGAUGAGCUCGCGUCUGAUUAGCUAGUUGGUGAGGUAAAGGCUCACCAAGGCAGCGAUCAGUAGCUGGUCUGAGAGGAUGACCAGCCACACUGGGACUGAGACACGGCCCAGACUCCUACGGGAGGCAGCAGUGGGGAAUUUUCCGCAAUGGGCGAAAGCCUGACGGAGCAAUACCGCGUGAGGGAAGAAGGCUCUUGGGUUGUAAACCUCUUUUCUUAGGGAAGAACAAAAUGACGGUACCUAAGGAAUCAGCAUCGGCUAACUCCGUG